CUUCUCUCUGCCCGUCUCUGCUUCCCCCCCCUUCCCCCCCCCCUUUUCUCCCGGCCGACGGAGCUGAAGGGGCGGGGGUUCCUUCCUUGGAGUGUUUCUAGAGCUCGGAGGCUGCUGGUAGGGGGAAGUUGUACCCGUCAGCACCUGCUGAGGGCUUUGUUGUCCAAACCCUGACAGGUAAAAAAAUUCCUGCAGAAUAAAGCCAGACCAGCUGGCUUUGAAGAGAAACCCCCCAGUUUGGGCUGCGUUUGCCUCCUCUCCUUUUCUAUGAAGACCGAGGCUUUGCCCCCUUGAUCGUCAAGCCGUGAGAUGCGUGAUCUCUCUGCACAAGUGUCUGGCAGGCCGAGGUGCACCUGUUUCUGUCACUCUGGAGUAAAUUUAGCUGUAAAGGUAUCACUGACAACCAGACCUUUGUCAGUGCUGGCAAAAGAACACAGAAUUGCUUCCCUCCCCUCCCCCCUCCCGACCCCCUAUGCUGCUAGUUCCAAUGGAAAAUAUCCAAUCGGAAGUCUAUCCAAAAAUCAUUCCUAAAAAAUGAAAUUGCUUUCAUAUGGUAUAAAAAAGUAAGUUUCCUCAUUUCAAGCAGAUUUUAAAAUUACAUUUCCAAGAAUAAUCUUGGAACAAGACAAGUUUUCGUUCAAUUAAUUGUGGCUGGAAACUUUUUAAUGGAAACAUAGCACAUACUUACUUCAUUUCAGGUUAUUAAAUUGUGUUAAGCAUAAAAGUUAUUUGCCAUUCUUUGUUGCAGCUCAUUUGUUCUUUUCGAUUCUAAGAAAUAUUAGAAGGUUAAAUAACUUAUCACAUAGGAGAGAUUAUUCAUACUACCAAAAUUAGAAUGUGUGUAGUUCUGAGGGACUGAAUGUCAAAAUUGUAUGCUCAUAGCACUAAAACUAUUGGGAAUCUAGGAUGCCACUGGAACAUGUAAAAUGGCAGCUAAGGUCUAUGGAAACCCUUCAUGUUUAGAAACUGGCUAAAGCUUGAGUUCUCUUAUCUUUUGGUUAAGGGCACCACUUUCAGAUAAAAACAUAGACCUGAAUGGCAUCAUCCAGUAUCCAAGGAAACCAUUGUGUCUGUAACCAGCUAAUGAGCUGCAACAGAGCCUGGCCUUCAUUUUCAGCAAAUUAAGUUCAUCCCUCAUAGGAAUUGUGGUCUGGCUGUGGCACCGCUCCUAGGUUCUCUAAACAUGAAUAUGCCUUUGGGGGAAGACAGAAGAACAUGGAAGCCAUGUGAAAAAAACGGAUCCUAAGGCAGUUUUGAACAUCUGGAGGCCUGAUUUAUUGGAGAUUGCAAAUGUACAGUGUAACAUAGCUGUGGAGAGCGAGAAGAUCAGGAUUGUCAAUGCUGUCAUUGCUUUUACUGGAAUCCCCAGCACGAAUUGAAGGUUUGACCAGAGACAAAGAAGCAAAUGCUAUCAAUUAACAUUCACAUGUGGUAGAUCUCACAUGAGAUGGCAAAGAGGUCAAGACAAAAAUUCUGCAUUUGGGAAAAGAAUAACACAUGGACUUCCUCCUACAGGAUCCAGGUUGAAAAAGUAGCAC
rnacentral:lncRNA from 10 species